CGGUCCAGACUCCUACGGGAGGCAGCAGUAGGGAAUCUUCCGCAAUGGGCGAAAGCCUGACGGAGCAACGCCGCGUGAGUGAUGAAGGUCUUCGGAUCGUAAAACUCUGUUAUUAGGGAAGAACAAAUGUGUAAGUAACUAUGCACGUCUUGACGGUACCUAAUCAGAAAGCCACGGCUAA
rnacentral:rRNA from 1 species